GACGAACGCUGGCGGCGUGCCUAAUACAUGCAAGUAGAACGCUGAAGGAGGAGCUUGCUUCUCUGGAUGAGUUGCGAACGGGUGAGUAACGCGUAGGUAACCUGCCUGGUAGCGGGGGAUAACUAUUGGAAACGAUAGCUAAUACCGCAUAAGAGUAGAUGUUGCAUGACAUUUACUUAAAAGGUGCAAUUGCAUCACUACCAGAUGGACCUGCGUUGUAUUAGCUAGUUGGUGAGGUAACGGCUCACCAAGGCAACGAUACAUAGCCGACCUGAGAGGGUGAUCGGCCACACUGGGACUGAGACACGGCCCAGACUCCUACGGGAGGCAGCAGUAGGGAAUCUUCGGCAAAGGACGGAAGUCUGACCGAGCAACGCCGCGUGAGUGAAGAAGGUUUUCGGAUCGUAAAGCUCUGUUGUAAGAGAAGAACGAGUGUGAGAGUGGAAAGUUCACACUGUGACGGUAUCUUACCAGAAAGGGACGGCUAACUACGU
rnacentral:rRNA from 1 species